rnacentral:misc_RNA from 1 species
GAUGAAGAACGUAGCGAAAUGCGAUAAGUAAUGUGAAUUGCAGAUUUCAGUGAAUCAUCGAAUCUUUGAACGCACAUUGCGCCCCUUGGUAUUCCAUGGGGCAUGCCUGUUCGAGCGUCAUUUGUACCUUCAAGCUCUGCUUGGUGUUGGGUGUUUGUCUCGCCUCUGCGUGUAGACUCGCCUCAAAACAAUUGGCAGCCGGCGUAUUGAUUUCGGAGCGCAGUACAUCUCGCGCUUUGCACUCAUAACGACGACGUCCAAAAGUACAUUUUUACACUCUUGACCUCGGAUCAGGUAGGGAUACCCGCUGAACUUAAGCAUAUCAAUAAGCGGAGGA